GCUAAGGUAGCUCAGUGGUAGAGCAGCUGACUGAAACUCAGCGAGUCGCCGGUUCAAUCCCGGCUCUUGGCA
rnacentral:tRNA from 1 species